GAUGUUAAGCAGACCCCCAUACUGUGGAGGAAGAAGGGUGAAAAUGCAACAAUACUCUGUAACCACACGAAGGGUGCUACUUACUACCAGAUGUACUGGAGGCUUUAAGAACAAGAGAGAUCAGAUCAUCUGCUGACACACUGAGAAUAUGCUGCACAGUCACAGAGAAAUUAUCACUGAACAAAACAACAAGAACAGCAUGAACUUCAUUCUAUUAAUAUUUGCUUUCAACACUGCGCUGGUUUCAGGAUCCUCUCUCAGUGACCUCGUCCACCAGACUCCUCAAUAUAUUCAUGCAAAUCCAGGAGGAACAGCUAAAAUCACCUGUUCUCAUAGUAUCCAUAGGUAAAAGUCAUCAGAACAACAAAUCUGCUGUAUUUUAGGACAGAGAUAAAACAAACAUGUUUUUCUGAAGGGAGGCAUGCAUGUUAUGUGUAUGAAUGAGUCCAUUUAAGAGA